ensembl:lncRNA
CCUCCCUCUCCCAUCCCAGUCUCUCCAUCAGCCUCCCCCUCCUCCCUCUCUCCUUCUGUCAGCAUGGGUUUUGUUCCCUCUCUCUCUCUCUCUUUGUUUCCUUGUCACUUCAGAGAAGAAGCAGAAUUAGGAUCCAUUACACACACCUUGACACACCAGACACACCCUCUACAGAUGAGAUCAGGUCUGUGUGUUCCAUAGCAGCGGUGCCACUGUGGGAUGUAAUGGAGGAGUCUGUUGGGAAGAGCAGAGGUUGUAACUCCACCUAGUGUUCACUGGAGAAACUACAUCUGGAGGAGGCGCAGUGUCUUAUGUCCUCAUGUUUGAUAUAUGAUUAAUAUUCAAUGCAAAAUAUUAGGUUAACAUUUUGUAUUUUUUUAAAGCACAAGAAAUAAAAAAAUGUAAAGUUGGAAUUCAGGUGAGAGUCAGACAACAUAUCUUUCUGGAAGGAGGGGUGAAGGUGGUCUGGAGGUGAAGGAGGUGUGGUGGUGGGAGGUGUGGAGGAGGUCUGGAGGUGGAGGAGGUAUGGAGGGGGUCUGGAGUUGAAGGAGGUGUGGUGGUAGGAGGUGUGGAGGAGGUCUGGAGGUGGAGGAGGUAUGGAGGGGGUCUGGAGGUGGAGGAGGAGUGGUGGUGGGAGGUCUGGAGGUGGAGGAGGUGUGGUGGUGGGAGGUGAGGAGGAGGUCUGGAGGUGGAGGAGGUGUGGUGGUGGGAGGUGUGGAGGAGGUCUGGAGGUGGAGGAGGUCAAUCAAUCAAUCAAAUGUAUUUAUAAAGCCCUUUUUACAUCAGCAGUUGUCACAAAGUGCUUUUACAAAACACCCGGCCUUAAACCACAAGGAGCAAACAACUGAAGUGUUGUAGUGUUGCUAGAAAAAAGGGAAAAAAAGCAGUAAUUUAGGAAGAAACCUAGAGAGGACCCAGGCUCAGAGGGGGGACCAGUCGUCUUCUGGCUGUGCUGGGUGAACAUUUUAAGAGUACAAAUUGUAAUAAUUAAUAAAUGCAUGCGGGUUGAGUCCAGAGUCUAUUUAAACAUAGUCCAGGUCAGAAGCAUGACCAGAUGGACAAGGACAGGGACAACCCGGGAGGGGGGGGGCAGCAGAGUGGCAGGUGAAAUCUCAGCUAUCUUCUUAUUCUGCAACACAACCAGGAGGACUCUGGACAGGGACCAGGACCUCAUGUCCUCAGUCCUAAGUUUAAAACGGCAGGAGACAGGUAAAAUGUGGUGAUGAGAGCCCACCUGGCAAGACAGCAAGGGUGGACAGUAUGAAGACUUUCUGGUCACAUUCACGCCCCCGGGCCAGGCUACACCUAAUUAUAAACCGUGCUGUAGAGAUGAGUCUUUAGUAGACACUUGAAAGUUUGCACUGAGUUUGCAUUUCUAACCUUAAUUGGCAGAUCAUUCCACAGUAGUGGAGCUCUAUGAGAGAAGGCCCUGCCUCCGGCAGUUUGUUUAGAGAUUCUAGGUACAAUUAAAAGGCCUGCAUCUUGCGAUCGUAGGUCACGUGUAGGUAUGUAUGGCUGGAUCAUUUCAGCAAGGUAAGUAGGAGCAAGUCCAUGUAUUGAUUUAUAGGAGUAAAACCUUAAAAUCAGCGCUAACCCUAACAGGCAGCCAGUGUAAGGACGCUAGGACAGGAGUAAUGUGUUAAAAUUUUUAUGUUUUUUGAAGUUUAUUUAUAAAUUUUUCUGGAUAACCAGAGAGAAGAGCAUUGAAGUAAUCUAGUCUAGAAGUAACGAAAGCAUGGAUUACUUUUUCUGCAUCAGUUUUUGAUAGAAAGUUUCUGAUUUUUGCAAUGUUUCGAAGAUGAAAAUAAGCAACUCUUGAGACAUAUUUUAUUUGUUCUUCAAAGGAGAGGUCAGGGUCAAGGGUAACGCCAAGGUUUUUUACAGUUUUUUGGGAUACGACCAUGCAGCCGUCGAGGUUCACAGUGUGCUCUGCUAACAACGCUCUUUGUUUUUUGGGUCCUAAAAUGAGCAUUUCUGUUUUUCUUGAGUUUAAAAACAAGAAGUUCUCUGUCAUUCACUUCCUAAUAUCUGAAAAGGAGGUGUAGUGGUGAGAGGUGUGAAGGAGGUCCGGAGGUGGAGGAGGUGUGGUGGUGAUAAGUUUGGAAGAGGUCUGGAGGUAGAGGAAGUGUGGUAGUGAGAGGUGUGGAGGAGGUCUGGAGGGGGAGGAGGUGUGGUGGUGAUAAGUUUGGAGGAGGUCUGGAGGUAGAGGAAGUGUGGUGGUGAGAGGUGUGGAGGAGGUCUGGAGGGGGAGGUGUGGAGGGGGAGGAGGUGUGGUGGUGAGAGGUGUGGAGGAGGUCUGGAGGGGGAGGUGUGGAGGGGAAGGAGGUCUGGAGGUAGAGGAAGUGUGGUGGUGAGAGGUGUGGAGGAGGUCUGGAGGGGGAGGUGUGGAGGAGGUGUGGAGGGGGAGGAGGUGUGGAGGGGGAGGAGGUGUGGUGGUGAGAGGUGUGGAGGAGGUCUGGAGGGGGAGGUGUGGAGGAGCUGUGGAGGGGGAGGAGGUGUGGUGGUGAGAGGUGUGGAGGAGACUGGCGUCUGACUCAAACAGAACAUUCUUUAGGUUUCCAGAUUUCCAACUGAUCUUGAGAUAGUUACCCCUGAGGUCAUUACCCAGUCAGGGUCCGUAAGGACCUCAAACAACAACGCUGUAUAUUUAUACACACACACACACAGACAGACAUCAUGAGACCUGGUGCCUGAUGGGUAAACGGCAGUAGGUGUAGCCAGCUCCACAUCGCUAACGGAAAUGUCCGGCAGUCCCUCCCCUACAGGCCAUCGCCACAACGACCCACCAGACAAUAGAGGACAGGAUCCUCCACUCUGAAAGGAAGGCAGGUCACUUCCUGUAGCACUGUGCUAGCAGCUCAGUUAAUACAUGCGUGUGUUUUUCUGUGUGUCAUAGAGGUGAAUAGAGGGAACAAAUCCAUACCAGUGUCCCUAUUUAUCACUUUAAUAAUAAUACAAAAUCCCUCCUGAUAAAGCAUUCGGAUCGGCCUGUUCUAAAAGCCAAAUCUAAUUUCACUGCUCCACAAAUUAAGGGAACAUGUAAAUCAUACAUUGGGUCUCAAAGUAAACAGUCUGUUAUUUCAAUUGUUUACUUUGAUUUUCGUUGUGAGUUUGAAUCCAGCCCUCAAUCGGUUGGUGAUUUUGGUUUCCAUUGACCGUUGUUACAUCAUUUUGUUCUCAGUGAAUUACACAAUAUACAGCAAAGAUUUUGAUGUAUCACCACCACACCUCAUCCACCUCCAUCCACCUGGGCUGGAUUCAAACACACCGAAAAUCAAAGAAAACAACUGAAAUCACAGGCUGUUCCAACUUGCAUGAAUUACAUCACAGUGACUCAAUGUGACUCAGUAGUGUGUAUGACCUCCAUGUGCCUGUAUGCACUCCCAACAACGUCUGGGCAUGCUCCUGAUGAGAUGGCAGAUGGUGUCCUGGGGGAUCUCCUCCCAGACCUGGAUCAGGGCAUCAGUGAGCUCCUGGGCAGUCUGUGGCAUUUCUUGGCGGCGUCGGAUGCACUGAUACAUAACGUCCCAGAGGGUCUCAAUUGAUUUCAGGACAGGGGAAAAUGAGGGCCAGUCAAUGGCAUCAAUGCCUUCGUCAUCCAGGAACUGCAUACACACUUUGGCCACAUGAGGCCGGGCAUUGUCCUGCACCAGGAGGAACCCAGGGCCCACAGCACCAGGUUAAGGUCUGACGAUGGGUCUGAGGUUUUCAUCCCGGUACCUAACAGCAGUCAGGGUACCGCUGGCUAGCACAUGGAGGUCUCUGCGACCCUCCAAGGGUAUGCCUCCCAAGACCAUCAAUUUACAAAGACAAUGGGAUUCAUCAUUAUAAGGAGGAAACAAUUCUGUGGUUUAAGAACAUGUCAUAAAGCUUUUCUUAAAGCCUUUCUCAAGAAAUUCAUUUAAUUAGAAACGUAGGAAGAUUUUGGUGAAUGAGGCCCAUUGAUCUGAGCCUCCCUGGGAGAAAGCAAAAUGACCCAUUAACCUAUUUUAAAUGCAUUAAACUCAGAGAUCUGAAACAACAAAAAUCUAAGAUCAAGCUAAUGUAGAGUUACUUGUUAAACAACACUUGAUGCACAAUUCAGGUCAGUAUUGGCCAAACAAUGUAAAACAAAUGUCUUUUAGAUUCUCCCUGAAAUCAACCAGUGAGGUUUCAAGAUUGACAACUCAACUGAGUCCGCCAGCUUUUGUCAGCGGUUCACUUCCCAAGCUGAUGCUUUAUCCUGUGUUCCUAUUCUCCUUUACUUCUGUGUGCCUGGCUGACACCUCUGCUUAGGUGUUGGCCCAUUUCUUCAAGCUCAACAUCAACAAAACAGAGCUGCUCUUCCUCAGGGGGGGUCCACCCACACAAAUGCACUAAGAUACAGAACACAGAGAGGGAGAGGGUAUGUUUAGCCAGAGCCCAGAGACAACAAAGUGUAUGGCAGCUGCUCCGCCCUCGACCGUAAAGCACUUCAAAGGGUGAUUAAAACAGCAGAGAGCUUCACAAGGUCUGACCUGCCAUCCCUGCAGGAUCUCUACACAGAGAGGUGUAGGAGGAGGAGCAAACGGAUCAUUACAGAUCCCAGCCACCCAUGACAUGGACUGUUUACCAAGCUGCCGUCAGGCAGAAGGUACAGGAGUAUUCAGUCCAAAACUAACGGGCUAUGGGACAGCUUCUUUCCACAGGCUGUAAGGCUGCUCAACUCAGGAACCCCUCUUCCCUUCCAUCUAUAGUCCCAUGCACACCUGUCACUUUAUAUCAUGUACACCUGUCA